GUGAAUCAUCAAAUCUUUGAACGCAAAUUGCACUCUCUGGUAUUCCGGAAAGUAUGCCUGUUUGAGGGUCAGUUAAAUAAAAAUCGUUGUUGUUGCUGCCUUUCGUGGUGACGCGUCGGCUUUUAGUCUUCUUACCUUCGGUUAAGCUUCUUAAAAUUUUUGCAUGUUUUUCGUACGUAUUUAAAUCGUUUACGUCCGUUUGUGAUAUUGAAUGCUUAUUAGGUUCGGUCAUCCUCAUACCCGGCACCUAUAAUUUUUCACUAAAUGACC
rnacentral:misc_RNA from 1 species